UACAUGGGGUGCAAACGUUGCUCGGAAUCAUUGGGCGUAAAGCGCGCGUAGGCGGUUACUUAAGUUGGAUGUGAAAGCCCUCGGCUUAACUGAGGAAGUGCAUCCAAAACUGAGUAGCUAGAGUACGAAAGAGGGUCGCGGAAUUCCCGGUGUAGAGGUGAAAUUCGUAGAUAUCGGGAGGAACACCGGUGGCGAAGGUGGCGACCUGGGUCGAGACUGACGCUGAGGCGCGAAAGCGUGGGGAGCAAACAGG
rnacentral:rRNA from 1 species